rnacentral:snRNA from 1 species
AUUUUUACCUUGCAGGGAGAUACCAUGAUCACAAAGGUGGUUUUCCCAGUGCAAGCCUGAUCCAUUGCAUUGGGGAUUUGCUGACCCCUGAAAUUUCCCCACAUGGGGGAAACUGCAUAAUUUGUGUUGGUGGGGUGUUGUGUUUGUGCUUUCCCCUG